rnacentral:rRNA from 1 species
GACGAACGCUGGCGGCGUGCUUAACACAUGCAAGUCGAACGAAGAGCGACGGAAGCUUGCUUCUAUCAAUCUUAGUGGCGAACGGGUGAGUAACGCGUAAUCAACCUGCCCUUCAGAGGGGGACAACAGUUGGAAACGACUGCUAAUACCGCAUACGAUCUAAUCUCGGCAUCGAGGAUGGAUGAAAGGUGGCCUCUACAUGUAAGCUAUCACUGAAGGAGGGGAUUGCGUCUGAUUAGCUAGUUGGAGGGGUAACGGCCCACCAAGGCGAUGAUCAGUAGCCGGUCUGAGAGGAUGAACGGCCACAUUGGGACUGAGACACGGCCCAGACUCCUACGGGAGGCAGCAGUGGGGAAUCUUCCGCAAUGGACGAAAGUCUGACGGAGCAACGCCGCGUGAGUGAUGACGGCCUUCGGGUUGUAAAGCUCUGUUAAUCGGGACGAAAGGCCUUCUUGCGAAUAGUGAGAAGGAUUGACGGUACCGGAAUAGAA